rnacentral:rRNA from 1 species
GAACUUAAGCAUAUCAAUAAGCGGAGGAAAAGAAACUAACGAGGAUUCCCCUAGUAACUGCGAGUGAAGCGGGAAGAGCUCAAAUUUCGAAUCUGGCGGCACGUGG